AGACGGAGGGGGCUAGCGUUGUUCGGAAUUACUGGGCGUAAAGCGCGCGUAGGCGGGCUGGUAAGUUGGGGGUGAAAUCCCAGGGCUCAACCCUGGAACUGCCCUCAAUACUGCCAGUCUUGAGUUCGAGAGAGGUAAGUGGAAUUCCUAGUGUAGAGGUGAAAUUCGUAGAUAUUAGGAAGAACACCAGUGGCGAAGGCGGCUUACUGGCUCGAUACUGACGCUGAGGCGCGAAAGCGUGGGGAGCAAACAGGAUUAGAUACCCCGGUAGUCC
rnacentral:rRNA from 1 species